rnacentral:lncRNA from 1 species
GGCGGUCGGGUUAACAGCCCUCCGUCUGGUCAGCUGACGCUGUAUGUCGAGGACCUCCGCGCAGGUCUUCGGCUCCCGAUUCUGGAGUUCGUCCGGAAUCUUCUGAACUAUUACGGACUCUGUCCGGCGCAACUAGCGCCGAACUCAGUCCGUCUCAUAAUCAGUUUUGCUUUGUUGUGUCAGCUUUUGUCGACCAACC